GGGAGGUUCUCGCGAUCUCCCCGUCCACGCCUGCGCCGCGAGAGGCCGCUAGGUGGAAGGGGACUUCGGUUCCGCACGUCGUCAUGUUGUUGGAUGGCACCAGUAUGUGACGUUCCUAGGAACUUAGCUCUGAGGAAAAAACAAAGCAAACCGGGGAAGUACGUAGCCUUGAACCGGAGUAACCAGGGACAGAAAGGAAGGAAAAGGGUUUCAUACCUUCACGGAACGACGCUCACUUCGUCCGCCUGAGGAGGAAAAAUAAGUUUAAACCUUUCUGUGAAAAAGAACGUGGAGCCCUUUCUGCCGAAUGGAAACCCGCUAAACCCCGUUAUGGAGUCUGCUACAAUUAAGCAUCUAACCAGGAAUUGUCUAUGGACACAACUCUCCAGGCAAUUCAUGCAGAAAGUGUGUUGACGAUUUCCUGUUUCUUGCAGAGCGCUUCACCGUUAAGGCUCUUAGUAGCUGGCGAUUGUAAAGCACAUUUUCCGCUUCAUGAAAAUACAGUGCUCUUCUUGUGUUUGUAACCUUGGAAAGCUAGAGUGCAAUGGCGCUAUCUCGACUCACUGUAGCCUCCGCCUUGAGGGCUCAAGCGAUCCUCUCACCUCAGCCUCCCGAGUAGCUGGGACCGUAGACGCCUGCUCCCCAUCCCCGCUAUAUUCGUUCUUUAAUACAGUCUCUCAGCUUGUUCAGCUGCCACUUCUGUGCAGCUCAUUAGCCUGAUCGGUGAAAACUAGGCGAGACGCGCACACUGACCCUGCAGUGCAUCUUGGGAGUUGUAGUCAUAACUAAUCAAUGGUCUUGUUAAAACGUGCUUAUGUUUUGACCAGAUCGCUUAAGUGUGGACACCCUUCAGCAGUACACUACAACGUGGGUCAGUGUACAGAACACAUGCUGAUAGAAAUAAUUUCAAAAUCUGGAUUCAUAGUUUUUUUUUUUAAUCUAGAGACCUCAGAAAAUGUACUUGAAGAAAAUCAUCAUAAUAUAAUACAUAACAAUAGAGCCAAUUAAUUGAUGUGAUGAAAGUGGACAAAAUGUAUUUUGACCUCAGAGAAAAUAACAUUUCUGUCUUGGAAGAGUCAGAGAAUGCUUCACACAAUUUUUGAGCCUGAUGUUAGACUCUCCAGCCUUCUGUCCAAGCCUCACCCUUUGGUUACUCCCCAGGAAGACUGAACUUGGGAAGAGGAUUGUGCAGACCCUGGAGUCAGGCUUGGCGUUUGGGAUAGGGAAUACUAGAGUGCCCACAGCAUGGUCUGGAAAAGGGAAAGUGGGCUGCAGGUGGCUACAGUCCCAUGAUUCCAUGGAUUUCAGACCCCUCCAAAGCACAGGGCUCAGUGCUUAUCCAAGUCUGAGGGCCCCCCAUAACCACAUCUUCCCCAGCAGAUGUUCUUUGCUUCAGGCAGUCAUCAAAGUUCCACUUCAAAGAGUUGCUAACCAAAUAAGCCCACAAUCUUCCUUUUUUGUUGUUUUGAAUAAGUAAUGCCUUUACACAUAUGAAAUUAAAAAGAGAGGCCGGGCAUGGUGGCUCACGCCUGUAAUCCCAGCACUUUGGGAGGGCGAGGUGGGCAGAUUGCCCGAGGUCAGGAGAUCCAGACCAGCCAGGCCAACGUGGUGAAACCCUGUCUCUGCUAAAAAUACAAAAAUCAGCUGGGCGUGGUGGUGGGGGCCUGUAAUCCCAGCUACUUGGGAGGCCGAGGUAGGAGAAUCGCUUCAACCUGGGAGGCAGAGGUUGCAGUGAGCCAAGAUUGCACCACUGCACUCCAGCCUGGGGGACAGUGUGACAGACUGUCUCAAAAAAAAAAAAAAAAAAAAAGGCAAAGAUAUAUAGUGAAAACUAAGUCUUCUUUUAGUCUUUGUCUCCUGCCACUCAUAGAAUUUUCCUCUUGGAAUCACCUCUAUUCCAUUUUCCUGUGUAUGUUGCCAGAGCAGGGCUGGCUUCAUGGUGGUGACCUGUACAGAUAGGCACUUGGUUUAAUGUUUUGCUGUCACUAACUUGAAAUUCAGGAAAGUUUCUGGACAAGGGCCCUGCGGUUUUAUUUUGCACUGGGCCCACAAAGUAUGUAUCUAGUCCUAUUCCAGAGAUAUUCUAUGCAUAUACAGGUAAUUAUAUGUAGAUAUGUAUGUAGUGGUCCAGUAGUGGUCCAGGGCCUGUUAGGAACUGGGCGGCACAGCAGAAGGUGAGUGGCAGGGGAGCCAGCAUUUCGGCCUGAGCUCUGCCCCCUGUCAGAUGAGCAGGGGCAUUACAUUCUGGUAGGAGUGAGAACCCUAUUGUAAACUGCACAUGCAAGGGAUCUAACCUGUGCACUCCUUAUGAGAAUCCAACUCCCCCUUUCCAUGGAAAAAUUGUCUUCCACAAAACCAGUCCCUGGUGUCAAAAAGGUUGGGGACCUCUGUAGUAGGCUACCAUCUAGGUUUGUUUAGGUACACUCUAUGAUGUUCACACAACAAAAAAUCACCUGAUGAUGCAUUUUUCAGAAAGCAUCCCCAUUGUUAAGGGACACAUGACUGUAAUGGAAUACUAUUCUUUUCCUUCCUUUUUAUUUUUUGUGGAGACAGGGUCUCUACAUGUUGGUGCCCAGGCUGGUCUCACACUCCUGAGCUUAAGGGAUCUGCCUGCUUUGACCUCCCAAAGUGCUGGGAUUACAAGUGUGAGCCACCAUAUCUGAACCCCUGUCCCCCACUUUUUUUUUCUUUCUUUUUUUCCAUACACAGUCCAGGCUGGAGUGCAGAGGUGUCAUCUCGGCUCACUGCAACCUCCGUCUCCCGGAUUCUAACGAUUCUCCUGCCUCAUCCUCCUGAGUAGCUGGGAUUAUAGGUGUCCGCCACCACGCCCAGCUAAUUUUUGUAUUUUUAGUAGAGAUGGGGUUUCACCAUGUUGGUGAGGCUGGUCUCAAACUCUUGACCUCAUGUGAUCCACCUGCCUCAGCCUCCCAAAAUACUGGGAUUACAGGGGUGAGCCACCGUGCCCAGGACAGCCUUUUUUGGGUCAGUGUGUAUAUAGAGCUAACUCAUUCUACUUAAUGGCUACAUAGUAUCCCACUGUGAUAGCCGCAAAAGGCAGACAAAUCCUAGGCAGACAGGGGCAGGUCCCUGGUGAAACCCUUCAAGCUGAGGACAGUUUAAAGGCUAGCCACAAGACCAGGAUAAAUCCACAGACCAGAUUGAGAACCUCUCUUCCCAUUUGGCGUGCUUUCUUCUGAUUGAUCCCCACCCUUCACCUAUUUUACACAUAUCCUUUCCUAAUUGUUUUUUUACACUGUUGUACCUACCUUUGAGUGGUGCUGUUGUUUUAGCCUUUUUUGCAUACUCACAAACCAAUCAGCAUGCACGCCUUCAUUCUGAGCCCAUAAAAGCUGUGGACUCAGCCGCACUGAGAGAGAGACCACCUGACUUUGAGUGAGGGACCACCCUUGCAUCCUCUCUCUCCUGAGAGCUGUUUCAUAGUUCAAAUAAAACUCUUCUCCACCCUCCUCACCCUUUGAUUGUCAGCGUAACCUCAUUCUUGGACGCUGAAGAAAAAUUCGGGACCCACCAAACGCAGAUACAAAGAAGGCUGUACACACUGUGGCCCUUUGCCCUCUGCUGGUGGAGGGCAACCGUCCCACACAACGCGAUGGGAAGCAGCAGUGGGGCAGAGCCAGUCCUGAAGCCACGGGCCUGAGUGGGGCAAUGGGACUGAUAGAGCUGUUAACAUGCCACUGUCCGUUGGCCUGCAGACGGCAGAACUAAAAGAGUGCUUAGCAUACUGUAACACCUCUGGGGCUUCAGGGUCAUGAGCACCCCUGUUUGGGUGCCACCACAUUUCCCUCAAUGUGACACACCUGGUCCAGCCACAAGCCCCGCACAGAGCCCACUCCUGCCCUGUACUCGUUCACUCACACACCCCCUCCUGCCAGGGGCUGAGGCCAUGGUGGCUGCAGGAUUCGUGCCUGAGCACAAGCCAGACACAUCCUGGUGGGCCGAGUAGUUGGGGUGUUGCUGGCCGGAGGUCUCCAGCUGUCAAAGUGGCCAAGAAAAAUCCUGCAUCAACUGUACAAAUGUACCCUAAUUUAUUUAACUCAUUUAUUGUAUAUUUGUGUCAUUUCCAAUGGUUCGUAAUUUCAAACAUAUGAUUGUGCAAAAGUUGUUUUAUGUGUGCCAAUAUCUUUGUAGGUUAAUUUCCUAGAGCAAAGUUUUUCAACCUAAGCACCACUGACAUCUGGGGCUGGAUAAUUUGUUGUGAGGGGCUGUCAUGUGCGUUAUACGAUGUAUCCUAUCCACCCCUAUAUGUUAUGAAAAAUAUUUCAGUGGCCAGAAUCCUUUCAAUGACUUAAAAAGCCCUUUUCAUCCUGCUUCUGCCUACCUCUCCAGCUGCAUCUUAGUACCCGCACACUCUUUUUUCAUACUCAUGCCCCUGCUUGCUGUCUUUGCACAGGUAUUCUCUUUGUCUGGAGCUUUCUUCCUCACCAAUCAUCUCCUAAUAACUCCCAUUUUAUCUUUUAAAUGUUGCCACUAUUAUCACUUCCUUGGAGGAGCCUUCUUGGACUGCCUAUUUCAAAUCCCCUGGGUUUUUUUUUUUUCUUUGACAAAAGCCACAUUCGAACAAAUCCCCCUUGGAAUGUUACAAUUACCAAAAAAUCCAAUUUAAACUAGUUUAAAUGAUAAGAGAAUUUAUUGGCUCACAUAAAUGAGAAGUCUGAAGAUAAGGUGAACCUCAGGUUGAUUUGAGUGACUUAACAGUAUCAGCAGGAACUUGAUUUCCUUCUACCUCUCAAUUUUCUUUCUGAUGUCAGAUUCAUCCUAAGGCUUACUCCUUUUGUAUCAUAAAAUGGUGGCCAGGAUCUCCCAAGGUUAUGUAGUUCUUUGUCCAUAUCAAAAGAGAGUUUCUUUCACAUAUUUCACAGUUUCAAUGUGAUUAAAUUAAUUUAGGUCACAUGUCCGCCCCUAAACCUAGAGUUUUGUGGUCUAGAGAAUGUCAAGCACUGAUUGGCCAGGGCAAAUCAAGGCCUAUCCUUGGAACUGGAAGUUACGUUAAUCCCACCUAAAUCCCAUGAAUGUUACUCUAUGAGGUAUCGGUAAAAUCGAUGCUAGGAAUACAAUCAGAAUCCAUUAUAUCCUAUUACACGCUUAUAGCACCAUGCACCCCUCCAUUGUAGCACCUGUCAUACUUGUAGCUUUAUAUUUAUUUGUAUGAUUUCUGAUUAAUAACUGUCUUCUCAUCCAGAUGAAAAACCUCUAUUAGUCCAGGGAACUGCAUUUUUUCUCACCAUUGUAUCUCUAGUCUAGCACAGGGUGUCAAACAUAGCAGGUUCUCAAUAACUAUUGAAAGAAUGAAACUUCCCUUAGAAGUUUACUACUCAAUUUGACAUUCCCUUUAGCAGGCAAUUUAAUAGCUACCAUAUCAGACUUAUAUUACAUAUUUGAAAGUCCCAGACUGAGAUCUCUAAUUUCUAUCUCCAGGCAGUCAGUUCUUGACACACCACUGAGUAAGAUUCAUGGAAUAAAUCUGACCAUAUUAUAUUCCCUUGACAUCUUUCAAGUUCCUGAUUUCUUUUAGGAUAAAGUUCUUUAUGAUGCCAUUCAAAGCUCUUCAUGGUUUGGCCCCUAUCUGGCUUUCUAUUCUCAAGAGCAAAACUAUAGACUUCUGGCCUUCUUCAGGGUGAUCUUUCUCUUUCAAUCAUAGUCCCUCCCCAACCACUCACCAAAUAUCAGUUUUUAGAAGUCUUGUCUCUUGCAGGGAGUAGAGAGGGGGCAGUAAUAGUUUAUUCAGGGAUUCCCCCAUAUCUUUCCUGGGUAAAGGUAUUCUAGAAGGAGGCAGAGGAAGGAGGCUAGAGGUCCCACUGUUUGGCAUUCAGGCUUUCACUUAAUGCUCACUUUAGCCCUGCUUCACAGUCCCCUACUACCUACUGUGACUAAUAUUCUCAAGUCAAGAGUCUCUCCCAUUCUAGAAAAUAAAUCAGGCUCCUGGGAUGUGGUGAUGGUGUUAUAGGGGCAUGUGUGGGUAUGAGUGUGUGUGUAUGUGUGUAUGUGUGUGGGGUGGCAGUCCUUUGGUUAUAUGGGAUUGGGGAAUAGACCCAGGAAUGUAGGUGUUCUUUAUAUAGGCUUUCACCCUUCCCUAAAAUUUUCUGCCCUGAUCCUUUCUAAUUUUUUUGUGGAAAGAAUUAGCUCUUUUAAUUUAUUUAUUUUAUUUUAUUUUAUUUCAUUUUAUUUUAUUUUUUUGAGAUGGAAUCUUGCUCUGUUGCCCAGGCUGGAGUGCAGUGGUGUGAUCUUGGCUCACUGUAACCUCUGCCUCCCAGGUUCAAGCGAUUCUCCUGUCUCAGCCUACUGACUAGCUGGGACUACAGGCAUGUACCACCAUGCCAGGUUAAUUUUUUGUAUUUUUAGUAGAGACGGGCUUUCACCAUGUUAGCCAGGAUGGUCUCCAUCUCCUGACCUCGUGAUCUGCCUGCCUCAGCCUCCCAAAGUGCUGGGAUUACAGACGUGAGCGACUGCGCCCGGCAUCUUUUUAUAUUUUUAAAAGGUCACAUGUAUGUCCUUUCCUGUGAACUGUUUAUAUUCUUUGCCAAAGUGCUGGGAUUACAGACAUGAGCCACUGCACCUGGCCUUACCUCUUCUUUUUUUCUUUAAUCACCUGUGGAGGCUUUUAGAUUGUGCCUUUUGCUGUCAAGUCUACUACUACUCUUCCAUCGGCUUGUCAUACAACCAUUUGUUGAAAUUUCUUUUGUAUUUUGUUUGCCUUUUGGGCUCUACACUUUUUAAAAAUUUAUUUAGCUGUCAAAGAGAUGACAUACUGUGUAUGGUUAAUUUUCCAUGUAUUCUGGAGUUCUAAUAUAUUUUCAUGGUUUUUAAAUGUUUAGUUCUUUAAUCAAGUUGGAAUUUUUAAAAUAUAUAUGAAGUAGGAUGCUAAUUUAAAACUUUUCCUCCAAAUGGAUAUCCAUCCAGUUGUCUCAACAUCAUGUAUAGAAAAAACAAAUUGAAAAUGCUAUCUUAUCAUAUUAUUUACUAAAUUUACAUGCAUAUACAUAUACAUACAUAACAUAUAUCUGAGUUUGAGUCUGAAUUCACUACUGUUUCAAUUGCUGUAGUUGGUCAAUUCUAGUAUGACAGAGUUUUAAUUGCUACAGUUUUGGAAUGAUUAUGGGGUUACUUUUGAGACAGGGUCUGGCUAUCUUGCCCAGACUGGUCUCAAACUUACCGGCUCAAGCAAUCCUCCCAUCUCAGCCUCUUAAAGUGUUGGGAUUAUAGGUAUGAACCACUGCACCUGGCCCUGGAUUGCAUUUUGACUGUGGCCAUAGAAGUUUCCACUCAGAUCUUCAAGAGAACCUACUCUGGGGACUACAAGUGACUGACAGCCAGCUGCCACCCCUUUGGAACUACCAUGCAUUCAUGUCAAUGCCACAUAUCUCUGGAGUCGCCCCCAGCUAGUGGCUGAGCACAGCAGGAGUACUAAACUUGUUCUUUCUUGCCCAGUGCAGAACUCCUCUAACGGGCAACUUUGGCUUGGGGAACUUCUCAUCAGCCUGGAUGAGACUAUCUUAGAACUACAGUGUAGUCGAGGCUCUUUCUACCCAAUAUUUCCUUCUCUUCUUUUUACAGAAGUCAGACCUGCACCACAGUCUGAAGUCUCUCUGCCAAUUCCUGAGCCUUCCCACUUUAUCCUUCACAAACAUUUCCCCCAAUAAAUAUCUUGCAUGUCUA
rnacentral:lncRNA from 1 species